rnacentral:rRNA from 1 species
CUGGCGGCGAUGGAUUAGGCAUGCAAGUCGAACGGGAGCAGCAAUGCUCCAGUGGCGCAAGGGUGAGGAACACGUGAACAACCUGCCUUCGAGUUGGGGAUAGCUUCUGGAAACGGGAGAUAAUACCGAAUAACAUCAACGGGUCGCAUGAUCUGUUGAUCAAAGCAGCAAUGCGCUUGAAGAGGGGUUCGCGUCCCAUUAGCUAGUUGGUGAGGUAACGGCCCACCAAGGCGAUGAUGGGUAGCUGGUCUGAGAGGACGAUCAGCCACAUUGGGACUGAGAUACUGCCCAGACUCCUACGGGAGGCUGCAGUCGAGAAUUUUGGGCAAUGGACGAAAGUCUGACCCAGCCAAUGCCGCGUGCGGGAUGAAGGUCUUCGGAUUGUAAACCGCUGUCAAGAGGGACGAAAUAUGACGGUACCUCUGGAGGAAGCCACGGCUAACUACGUGCCAGCCGCUGC